GCCUCGUCAAAUGUAGGUGAGUUAGCCCUGAAAUAGUUGAGAAUAUUUACAUUAGACACAGAAAAUGGUAAAAAAAUGCCGAGUACAUUCACACCCACACACGACAGUCCUGUAACACGCAACCUCUAUGAAAGCCUUGCCAAAUAUAGGUGAGUGAGCCCUGAAAUAGUUGAGAAUAUGGACCUUGGACACAGAAAAUGGUAAAAAAAAAGCCGAGUACAUUCACACCUAUACAUGAUGGUCCUGUAAUAUGCUACUAAUUGUUCACCUAAAUAGCCAGGUGUACUGUUAAUUAUUUCCACACCUCACAGGCCAGGUAAAUUUUCCGUCGGUCGUCUUUCAGUGUCGCGUCAUGUCUGUCAUCCUUCCCACAGAUCACGUCGAAAGUAAAACACAUGUCAAAUCAACUCAUGUCAUUACCUCUACGCAGAAUAAACCUCAAAGUGUGUAUUAUACGUUUCUCUGAGUUGUCUGUGAGGCGUAUUCUGUGGCGAGACUUAAGGUGUGUGUACUCAGUGAAGUGUAGGUGUGUAAUGUGUAUAUAUAUGCGGUGAAGAGCAGGACCAGGUAAUGAAUGGGUGAUGUUUUGGGAGCUUAUGAUCUGUGGGAAGGAAAGUAGAAGAGUCGGCAAGUCCCUGGAUAACACAGUGGAGGGUAGAGUAGACUAGCGAAGUGUAAUUAACCCCUAGGAUGUGGAUUUCCUACAAGAAGACAUCACCAAGCUACAGGAAUGGAACAAAAAGUGGCUGCUACAAUUCAGUGAAGAAGAAUGUAAAGCCAUGCAUCUUGGGAGGGGAUAUCCAGCACACCAAUACCACAUGGGAAACACUCCACUAUCCACCACAGAGGCAGAGAAAGACCUGGGAGUGUAUGUUACCAGGCUACCAGUGAUGGGAUAUCCAGCACACCAAUACCACAUGGGAAACACUCCACUAUCCACCACAGAGGCAGAGAAAGACCUGGGAGUGUAUGUUACCAGGCUACCAGUGAAGGGAUAUCCAGCACACCAAUACCACAUGGGAAACACUCCACUAUCCACCACAGAGGCAGAGAAGGACCUGGGAGUGUAUGUUACCAGGCUACCAGUGAAGGCAAAAUCCGUGCCAAUCGCAGCAGACGGGUUAAGUGGAGUAUAAUGAAGUGGAGUGCAUAUUCUAUUUAGCCUAAGGUGAGAAUGUGUCGGGAGAAGCUUCACUUGCAACCCUCCUCUGUACCUCCAGAUUUUGCUCAAUCCCAAACCGACUGACUAUCAACCAAUCACCAGUACCAGAGUAACCUUGUCCUCCCUCACCUAUCUCACCUUAGGCAGAAUAGAUUAUAGUGUAUUGUGAUGAAGUGAAGUAGAGUGUGGUUAAGUGUAGAGAGGAGUGGAGUUUUCAGUAGUGUUUCAUAGUGAGAUAGAGAGUAGGAUAGAGCAGUGGAGUGUGGUUAAGUGCAGUGUAGUGUAGCGUGGACCAGAGAGGAGUUGAGUGUGUUAAGCGGAGUGGAGUUUUUAGUAGUGUUUCAUAGUGGAAUAGAGAGUAAGAUAGGGCAGUGUAGUGUGAAGCAGAGAGGAAUGUAGUGGAGUUUGUAGUAGUGUUUCAUAGUGGAAUAGAGAGUAAGACAGAGCAGUGUAGUGUGGAGCAGAGAGGAAUGUAGUGGAGUUUGUAGUAGUGUUUCGAAGUGGAAUAGAGAGUAAGACAGAGCAGUGUAGUGUGGAGCAGAGAGGAAUGUAGUGGAGUUUUUAGUAGUGUUUCGUAGUGGAAUAGAGAGUAAGAUAGGGCAUUGUAGUGUGAAGCAGAGAGGAAAGUAGUGGAGUUUGUAGUAGUGUUUCGAAGUGGAAUAGAGAGUAAGAUAGGGCAGUGUAGUGUGAAGCAGAGAGGAAAGUAGUGGAGUUUGUAGUAGUGUUUCAUAGUGGAAUAGAGAGUAAGACAGAGCAGUGUAGUGUGAAGCAGAGAGGAAAGUAGUGGAGUUUGUAGUAGUGUUUCGAAGUGGAAUAGAGAGUAAGAUAGGGCAUUGUAGUGUGAAGCAGAGAGGAAUGUAGUGGAGUUUGUAGUAGUGUUUCGAAGUGGAAUAGAGAGUAAGACAGAGCAGUGUAGUGUGGAGCAGAGAGGAAUGUAGUGGAGUUUGUAGUAGUGUUUCGAAGUGGAAUAGAGAGUAAGACAGAGCAGUGUAGUGUGAAGCAGAGAGGAAAGUAGUGGAGUUUGUAGUAGUGUUUCGAAGUGGAAUAGAGAGUAAGACAGAGCAGUGUAGUGUGGAGCAGAGAGGAAUGUAGUGGAGUUUGUAGUAGUGUUUCGAAGUGGAAUAGAGAGUAAGACAGAGCAGUGUAGUGUGGAGCAGAGAGGAAUGUAGUGGAGUUUGUAGUAGUGUUUCAUAGUGGAAUAGAGAGUAAGACAGAGCAGUGUAGUGUGAAGCAGAGAGGAAUAGAGUGGAGUUUUUAGUAGUGUUUCGAAGUGGAAUAGAGAGUAAGAUAGGGCAUUGGAGUGUGGUGUUAUCUGCUUAGCGUGGUCAGUACUGUGUGAGGUAACCCAAUCACUUGUCGUAUAUCCGUAUCAAGCAAACUGAACACUAUCCAGUUAUAAAUAAGAUACUUUUCAUGUGUCUUAUUUGUCAAUGGGUGUUCAAGAUGUCCCUGGUCUAAAUAUACAGUAACAGAAUGAACGGAUAACCUCCACUCACAAUCAUUCAACGUAUAUUCGUAUCAAGCAAACUGAACACUUGCCACUUAAAAAUAAGACACAUUUCACAUAUCUUAUUUGUCAAAGGGUGUUCGAGAUUUCCCAGAAUGAACGACGAGUGAAUGGGUAACCUCCGCUCUCUCUCUCCAGGGACUUGUUGGCUGCAGGAACAUACAAAUGAAGUGAGGUAAAAAAAAACGUGUGAGAAUAAAUUAAAUAACAGUAACCAAUAAACACAUCAAGAGUGCUGUGAUACUUAUAAUGAAAUGAUGAAUUGUAAUGUGUUUUUCAUUCCCUUCGUCCCUCCUCCUCCUCCUCCUCGGUAAUGUUAGGCUAUAUGUAGACGCCACACGUUAAUCAGUCUUACAUUUCUUUCCUACACCUUUUUCUCUCUCUCUCUCCUCUUUAAACAACUGCCUGCCUGCUCCGAGCCUUAGCUGGAAGCACUACAGGGUUAACACCACAAUGACAGUCGUACAUUACAUCCAAACUUAAUCUGUAGCACUUUAGGGAAGGCCGAGACAUUAACAGUAUCAGAUUUCCUCCCUGCACGCCUCGCUCUCUCUCCUCUUUAAACAACUGCCUGCCUGCUCCAAGCCUUAGCCGGACGCACUGCAGGGUCAACACCACAACAAUAUGCCGUGAUAGAUAGUUCAGCUCUCACACAGAAUCGAACGCAAAACGAACGGAAGCUAUAUACAAACAACGCCUUGACUACGACACACACACACACGAAGCUAAAAACAACACACCAUAGACUUGCAUUUUCCUGGAUAAAUAUCACUUCUACUACAUAGACCUGGAUAGGGUUACCAUUGCUGGAUAACCUUUUGCAUAUGGAUAUUGUCGAGUCUGUUCGAAUCCCCACGCUACCACCUGGGAUUUUUCAGUCACCGCCGAGUGGCCUAAGACUACCCACAUGCUGUCCAGAAGACCACCCAUCAACCCGGACUCGGACUCUUGAAGAAACCGUCCAGUGAAUCAAGAAUGAGUUCCGGGGGGCAGCAUGAGCCAAGCACAGCUGGCGCCACUAUAAAAAAAUUGUUUGGGCCGACUAUCUGGCCCCUGAAGAAAGCCUACUGGCACUAUAGGCAGAUAUGUAAAAAAAAUAAUAAUAAUAAAAAAACUUUGCUGUGCCUGGAAGUGGACCUCACACUCCAUGAACACAAGCUCACAAGCUCUCCCUUCCGACACCAAUAUCGACACCACAAAUCCAGUGAUAUCAGAGUUGCUUAUUAUCUUUCUACAAGCUCUUAAUUCCUUAGGCCACUAUCUUGACAUCAGUUCCAGUAAAAUCAGCGCCCCAGAUCUUGCUUGUUAUCUUUCUCAACACAGAAUAAGCACUGACAGACAUUUUACAAGUUCUACAAGCUCUUAAUUUCUUAGGUCAUUAUCUUGAAAUCAGUUCCAGUAAUAUCAGCGCCCCAGAUCUUGCUUAUUAUCUUUCUCAACACGGAAUAAGCACUGACAGACAUUUUACAAGUUCUACAAGCUCUUAAUUUCUCAGGCCACUAUCUUGAAAUCAGUUCCAGUAAUAUCAGCAUCCCAGAUCUUGCUUAUUAUCUUUCUCAACACGGAAUAAGCACUGACAGCCAUAUUACAAGUUCUACAAGCUCUUAAUUUCUUAGGCCACUUUCUUGACAACAGUUCCAGUAAUAUCAGCGUCCUAGAUCUUGCUUAUUAUCUUUCUCCGCACAAAAUAAGCACUGACAGACAUUUUACAAGUUCUACAAGCUCUUAAUUUCUUGGGCCAUUACCAUGACAUCAGUUCCAA